UAGAGUUUGAUCCUGGCUCAGAUUGAACGCUGGCGGAAUGCUUUACACAUGCAAGUCGAACGGCAGCACGGGUGCUUGCACCUGGUGGCGAGUGGCGAACGGGUGAGUAACAUAUCGGAACGUACCCAGUAAUGGGGGAUAACUAGUCGAAAGAUUAGCUAAUACCGCAUACGCCCUGAGGGGGAAAGCGGGGGACCGUAAGGCCUCGCGUUAUUGGAGCGGCCGAUAUCUGAUUAGCUAGUUGGUGGGGUAAAGGCCUACCAAGGCGACGAUCAGUAGCUGGUCUGAGAGGAUGAUCAGCCACACUGGAACUGAGACACGGUCCAGACUCCUACGGGAGGCAGCAGUGGGGAAUUUUGGACAAUGGGCGCAAGCCUGAUCCAGCCAUUCCGCGUGAGUGAAGAAGGCCUUCGGGUUGUAAAGCUCUUUCGCCAGGGAAGAAAACUUACCUUUUAUA
rnacentral:rRNA from 1 species